rnacentral:rRNA from 1 species
AUUGAACGCUGGCGGCAGGCUUAACACCUGCAAGUCGAACGAGUGGCGGACGGGUGAGUAAUGUCUGGGAAACUGCCUGUUGGAGGGGGAUAACCACUGGAAAGGGUAGCUAAUACCGCAUACCAUCAGAUGUGCCCAGAUGGGAUUAGCUAGUUGGUGGGGUAACGGCUCACCAAGGCGACGACCCGUAGCUGGUCUGAGAGGAUGACCAGCCACACUGGAACUGAGACACGGUCCAGACUCCGACGGGAGGCAGCAGUGGGGAAUAUUGCACAAUGGGCGAAAGCCUGAUGCAGCCAUGCCGCGUGUAUGAAGAAGGCCUUCGGGUUGUAAAGUACUUUCAGCGGGGGGGCGUUACCCGCAGAAGAAGCACGGGCUAACUCCGUGCCAGCAGCCGCGGUAAUUC